CUAGACUUCUGAAAGGGAAACCAGUGCACCAGGGUUUCCAGUGCUGUGAUAUGUGACUUAGGAGGAGCAGUUUGCUAAGGUAAAUUAUCCCAAAUGGACUGCUUUAGGAUGUCAGACACUAGCAUUUGUGCUGGCUGUCUAGAUGGGGUGUUAAGAUACCCCUCAAGUCUUCUUCCACCCCCUGCAUGGAGCACAAGCCCUUUCAAGAUUCAGGGCUGAAGACUCAGACUGAACUGUCUAUAAGGCUUUCUACAAGCACGUGAUAUUGCCCAGAAUGCCUUUUGCAUAUCCAGCCCAUCUGCAGUGCAGUUUGCUGCUGAGAGAGGGACAGAACAUAUGGCACUGACCUCAGAUGUGGGCUCCAAUACAGUAAGGAAGCCAUCUACUCUGAACAUUAAUAACGAAUUUCAGUGACUGGCCUGGCUGGGAACCAGUGCACACCCAACCUCUGCAUGCACGGAGCUCUUGGCACACAGUGAGACAGAAGAAAGAUGGGAGAUAACAUAAGGAUCAGGGUCUCUAAACCAAUUUUCAAUACAAGGUCCAACAGCCCUACUCACUGUGUCAGGAUGACUUCAUACACAGAUUCCCUUGGAAACACCAGCUCCAAGGUCCCUCUCGCUCUCACUCCAGACAGCAACCAGCGAGGACCCCAUGCUGCCCCACUGGGUCUUGCUCAGGCUGGAACUGGGCACUCUGCACGGGAUCAAAGUCCCUCUGUGUACCUGCCCCAGCCUGAUGAAUGCCACUGCUCCUCAUUUCCAUACGAUCAGUAUCUUGCUCUAUAAAUGACUUUUCAACACAGGAAAAAUAGCUUCUCCCGACAGCGUGCAGCGCUGCAGAUAACCAACGUGAAAAAUGUCAAGCAAUGCAGGCACUGAAUAACAAAAUAAUCAGUUUUUCCACUCAGAUGCUUUCUAAUAUUGCUUACACUUUUUUUUUUCUUUUUUUUUUUUUUUGAGAUGUGGUGUUCAUGAUAAAUAAUUUAAAGACUUAAUGUUCACUGGGUCCUUUGUUACUGGCAGCUCUCGAAUUGCCAAAUGAAAAUAUUUGGGGUUUUGGUGCUCUGUAUAAAGACUGUAUAUUUGUCAACAGUUUUAUGGCUCAGAGAGGUGCUCCAUGAAUAUCGUCAGCAUUGGCUGCUCUCUCAAAGGCC
ensembl:lncRNA